AUUGAACGCUGGCGGCAGGCCUAACACAUGCAAGUCGAGCGGGGUUUUCGGACCUAGCGGCGGACGGGUGAGUAAUGCGUAGGAAGCUGCCCGAUAGAGGGGGAUACCAGUUGGAAACGACUGUUAAUACCGCAUAAUGUCUACGGACCAAAGUGUGGGACCUUCGGGCCACAUGCUAUCGGAUGCGCCUACGUGGGAUUAGCUAGUUGGUGAGGUAAUGGCUCACCAAGGCGACGAUCUCUAGCUGGUUUGAGAGGAUGAUCAGCCACACUGGAGCUGAGACACGGUCCAGACUCCUACGGGAGGCAGCAGUGGGGAAUAUUGGACAAUGGGCGCAAGCCUGAUCCAGCCAUGCCGCGUGUGUGAAGAAGGCCUUCGGGUUGUAAAGCACUUUCAGCGAGGAGGAAGGGGUGUGUGUUAAUAGUACACACCUUUGACGUUACUCGCAGAAGAAGCACCGGCUAACUCUGUGCCAGCCGCCGCGGUAAGAC
rnacentral:rRNA from 1 species